AACGAACGCUGGCGGCAGGCCUAACACAUGCAAGUCGAGCGGACCUUUCGGGGUCAGCGGCGGACGGGUGAGUAACGCGUGGGAAUAUGCCCUUCUCUACGGAAUAGUCCUGGGAAACUGGGGGUAAUACCGUAUACGCCCUUUGGGGGAAAGAUUUAUCGGGGAAGGAUUAGCCCGCGUUGGAUUAGGUAGUUGGUGGGGUAAUGGCCUACCAAGCCGACGAUCCAUAGCUGGUUUGAGAGGAUGAUCAGCCACACUGGGACUGAGACACGGCCCAGACUCCGGGGGGGGGCGGAAGGGGGGAAAUUUAGAAAAGGGGGGGACCCCUGAUUUACCCAGGCCGGGUGAGUGAUAAACGCUUUAGGGUUGGAAAGCUCUUUCAGCGGGGAGGAUAAGAAGGUUCCCAGCAAAAAAGCCCCCGCUAACCUCGUG
rnacentral:rRNA from 1 species